rnacentral:rRNA from 1 species
CCUACGGGUGGCAGCAGUGGGGAAUUUUUCGCAAUGGGGGCAACCCUGACGAAGCAAUGCCGCGUGGGUGAUGAAGUCUCUUGGGACGUAAAACCCUUUCGACAGGGAAGCGGUACCUGUAGAAGAAGCCCCGGCUAACUCCGUGCCAGCAGCCGCGGUAAUACGGGGGGGGCAAGCGUUGUUCGGAAUUACUGGGCGUAAAGGGCGCGUAGGCGGCUCGCUAAGUUGGAUGUGAAAACUCUGGGCUCAACCCAGAGCCUGCAUUCAAAACUGACGAGCUCGAGUACUGGAGGGGAAAGCGGAAUUCCUGGUGUAGCGGUGAAAUGCGUAGAUAUCAGGAGGAACACCGGUGGCGAAGGCGGCUUUCUGGACAGACUGACGCUGAGGCGCGAAAGCUAGGGGAGCAAACAGGAUUAGAUACCCUUGUAGUC